rnacentral:lncRNA from 1 species
GUUUGGAGGGGCACGGUGAGGAUCAGCUGGAGUCCGGCGAAUGACGUUGUUUCGACCACUAGUGGAUUCAGCUGCUGCUUCUUCUCGUUCAUUUACAAUAAUUUGGGCUUUGCACCGCUGCCUAACAGGAUCCCAUUCAUAGCCAUCUGUGCAUUGCGUGUACGUUAUGGUUUCCUCAGUUUCCUGUGAAUGUACUGUAAUAAGAAUGAGAGCAGCCAAGAACAUAGCUGUCAACAUCAUGAACCUGGGCACCGCGGCCAGCACGCAGCCCCUUCCUGAGCGGCAGCUGAGGGGAAGCCCUGGCAGCGCGGCCAGCCCGCUGCGCCCGAUCCAGCUGCGGCGGGGCCGGGGCGGCUGCUCCCGGCGGCACGCUACCGCGGCGGCUCGGCCCCGUCCGUCCGCUGGCUCCGCUGCGGUGCCGGCACCCGCUCCCCCCCCCGGGCCUUCA